GACGAACCGUGCGAACGUUAUUCGGAAUCACUGGGCUUAAAGCGCGUGUAGGCGGGCGGGUACGUCGGCGACUGAAAGCCCCCGGCUCAACCGGGGAAGGGGUGCCGAAACGGCCGGCCUGGAGGGGCGUAGGGGGACCUGGAACUUCCGGUGGAGCGGUGAAAUGCGUUGAGAUCGGAAGGAACGCCCGUGGCGAAAGCGCUCUACUGGACCGCAACUGACACUCAGGGACGAAAGCUAGGGGAGCGAAUGGG
rnacentral:rRNA from 1 species